GAUGAACGCUGGCGGCGUGCCUAACACAUGCAAGUCGAGCGAAGCACCUUACUUGAUUUCUUCGGGAUGAAAGUAUUGUGACUGAGCGGCGAACGGGUGAGUAACGCGUGAGAAACCUGCCUUUCAGUGGGGGACAACAGUUGGAAACGACUGCUAAUACCGCAUAAUGUCAUUUGGGGGCAUCCCUGGAUGACCAAAGAUUUAUUGCUGAAAGAUGGUCUCGCGUCUGAUUAGCUGGUUGGCGGGGUAACGGCCCACCAAGGCGACGAUCAGUAGCCGGUCUGAGAGGAUGAACGGCCACAUUGGGACUGAGAUACGGCCCAG
rnacentral:rRNA from 1 species